ensembl:lncRNA
AAAAACUUCUCUCUACCCCAGAACUUAUAUGCACAUUCUUACAAUGGCUUUAUGCAGAAUUGCCCAAAUGGAAAACAGUCUAAAUAUUCUCAAAUGAUGAAUGGAUAAAAAAAUGUUGCAGGUCUGUAUAGUGGAAUACUACUCAGAAGUGAAAAAGAUGAAAAAAAGAAAUUGAAAAAAAAAAGAAUAUUGAUGCAGGUAGGAGGGAGGAUGAAUUAGUUUCAAAUACAUUAAGGACUCAACAGGCUCCAUAAUAUAUGAUUUCACUUAUAGUCUAGAAAGGGAAAAAUGAUAUAGACAGAAAACAGAUCCCUUGUUGCCAGGGCCUGGAGAUGGGGUGAGAGGGCGACUUUAAAGUUGUACCAUGAGGGAGUUUUUGUGGAACUGAUCAAUUUUUUGUGUUUUUUCGGCCUCCCAGCAGCAUACGGAGUUCCUGGGCCAGGGCUGGGAAUCAGAUCCGAGCCGCAGUUAUGACCUGUGCCAUAGCUGCAGGAACGCUGGAUCCUUUAACCCACUGUGCUGGGCUGGGGAUUGAACCUGUGUUUUGGCGCUGCAGAGACACCACCACUGACCCUGUUGUGCCACAGUGGGAAUUCUGGGAACUGAUAAAUGUCUUAUAAUGGUUGUGGCUAUAUGACUGCAUGCAUUUAUCAAAGCUGGUUGAACUGUCCCUAAAAAUGAGUUAAUUUUACUGUAUGUAAAUUUAAAAAGUGAACAAAAAUUUAGAAAUUAAAAACCUCUAGGAGUUCCUGUCGUGGCUCAGUGGUUAACAACUCAUGGUUACUAGCUGGAUUUGUUUCCGCUGCUCCACAAUGGGAACUCCUAAUGAUACAUCUUUCUUUGUUCACAAGUUCUACUUUAUACUUUUAAAGUGAUUAAUGUAAAAAGUGGCAAAUGUUAUUGAAACAUAUGGGCAGGCCAGAGGCAAUUAUAGUAAAAUAAUCCAUGAGCGAAAAUGAGAGCCCAAACCUGAUCCAGAAUUUGUGCAUUUGUGAGAUGGUAUUGAAAGUCUUUUCCCUAUUCCAAUAUUAUGAGGAGAAGUAACAUAGUGAUUAUGUGUAAAAUAGCUGCAUAGAGCCUGGGGUGGAUGGUUGUUUGCAAAGAUAGUUGAACAAAUUCCUCCCAUCCCUGUCUUCUUGCUCCUUUUUAGCCUGACUUGCCUUUUCUUCCAAGAAAUUAAGUCUUUUCUUCCCAUUCACCUAACCUGCUCCCAGAGUCUGGGCUGGCUUUUGAACUUUGACUAAUAAAAUGCAGUUGAGAUGUUCUGGUGCUUCUUGCUUAGGCAACAAGAGGCCAUGUGCUUUUGUUCUUAUUGUCUUGACACUCCUUGACUUCCAUUUGAAGAAGGCUUCUUGAGAAUGAGAGACCAGGUAGAGAGGCCCAACAGCCCAUGCAAAUCACCAGACAUGGGAGGGAGGCCUUGUUAGCCCACCCAGCCCAGUUGCUGUAGAUCAAAUUUUGUUCCCCACCCCCAAUCCAUAUGUCAAAUCUAAAUACCCAAUAUAAUGGUAUUUGGGGGUGGGCGUUUAGCUCCUUCCUAAUAGGGUCAAUGCCCUUAUAAAAGAGGCUCCAGAGAGAUCACCUGCCUCUUCUGCUGUGCGAGGACACAGUGAGAAGAUAGACCAUCCAUGAAUUAGGAAGCAAACUCUCACCAGACUCCAUAUCUGCAGGUGUCUUGUAUCUUAGUCUUCCAGUCUCCAGAUGUCUGAGAAAUAUAUGUUGUUCAAGUCGAGACAAUGAUAUUUGUUAUAGCAGCCCAAAUAAGCAGACACUGGUCAAGCCCACCUGUUCUUAUAGCCAUGGAGUGAUUCCAUGUGAGAUCAGCAGGAGAACCACCCAGAUGAACCCAGCACAAACUGUGCAUUCACAGAAUCAUAAAUGAACCAAAAUUGGGUGUUAUUUUAAGCUACUCUGAUUUGGAGUAGUUUGUAACACAGGUUAGACAGAUGAUAGUUUUGUCGUGAGUGUUCAAUAAAUGGGCAUAAACACUUACCUCCUUUUUUUCAUUUUUUAAAGUUUUAUUGAAGUAUAGUUGAUUUAUAAAGUGAUAAUUUCUGCUGUACAACAAAGUGAUUCAGUUAGACAUGUUAACUCCUUGCCUCUUGAGGGAAGGAUAAAUUAAUUUUGAAGUACAAUUUCAAGGGGAAUCCUUUUUAAGUACUGAGAUUUAUUUCUUGGGAUUAGGUGGAUGACAUUUAGACAGUUAUUUGGCCAAUUUUUCUUCCCACUCUCUGUUUACCUCAUUUCAGGAUUCCUGUACAUAUAUAUGUAAACCAAAACAGUUUUAAGACAAAGUUGAGUAUGCCGAAAGUUUGUAAAUCAGGGUAAAUCUUUGCUCUUGAUCAGUUGGGCAUAGAAAUAAAAGUUCAAUAAAUGGGACACACACAUCAUAGCUUGUACUUGAAAAGAGAUCUGUAUUGCAUAGUGUAAAAAACCUGUGGAUGAGCAUUUUUAAAAUCUCUCUAUGAGAAAACAAGAAGAUAUAAUUUCUUUCAUUGAGGCUGAUAGGGUAUUAUGACUAAUUUGUCAUAAUGGAUCAAAUUAGAUUUUGCAAGCCAAGAUUAUUUUUUUUCAAAGUUUGCGGAGUAUAAAAUGAAUAAUAGCUAACGCUUAUUGAGCAUUUAAUAUGUCGGGCAUGUUUUAAGCAUCCUAAAAAAGAUUUUAUAAUCACACCUCAAUUUCCUUCUCUGUAACAAAAAGGCAAUAAUAGGUAAGGAUGAGGAAGAUGAGGCACAGUGACUUGGUUUGGGAUUCCUAGAAGCAGAACAAAGAAGGGGAUCCUUAUGCAAGUGAUUUAUUGUGAGAGUGCUCUUAGGGGAAAGGGGAUGGCAGAAUCAAGAUAGGAGCAGGGGAAAGAGCUAAGCCAGAAAGUGCUCUCAUCUGAAGUCUAGCUUCAAUCUGAUCCUGUGGGGGAGUUCUGAAGUAUUAAUUGCACCAAAAGGUUAGUUCAAUCUUGAGGAAAGGAGUCCAGCCUUUUGUAUUCAUGUAUUAGGCGGUAUUAGCUGUAGAUUGCCUGCAGCUGGGGUUUCUGGGGUACCUAGUAUCCUGGGGGAGAGGAAGCUCCUGUUGCCAAAGGACAAUUCUCAAGGAAAAGGGGCACAUGUGAGCCAGUAAUAGCAAUUACAGCAGCUGGGGGAUGGGGGCACCCAUGGAGUAAAUGGGUCUGUGUGGGGCAUCCACAGUGUCUGAUACAGUCCUCCCCUUGCACUGGUAAAACCCACGUGCUUCUCACAUUAAGCUCACUCUGUCCCAGUGUUGCUUUCCCAGGAUUCUGGUUGGUCGCAAUUUCUAAGAAAUCUGAGAGGAGGAUUAGUAGGAAAAACCACAACCCUGUUGCUAUAGUGGACCCUGAGAUCAUAACUGAUACCCGCUAUCUUCUGCUUUUACCUUCCAUUCUAUUUUCUUCUCCCCACUGGUUAGCACUUCUCUACUGCUUGCUGGAGUGAACAAGGCUGUCAAUCUUGGAAAGUCUAAGCCCCUACUUACCUUGUCUUCAUUGGGCCAAAUUUCCUGAAUUUACCCAUUUAGAAUUGAAAUCGGCAUGGGAAUACUGAGGUGUCGUGUGGAUUAUCUGAGUAUCGGUUAUAAUUCUACUUGCCCCGCUCUGUAGCGAUAGGUCUUUAUCCUCAUGGUGACCAGGGUUAUUAUCUCUCCAGUGUAUUAACUUCUCUUUGGAACACGUAGUGACCAGGCAGCCACCACAGCUCUAAGUUGAGUAGGACUCAGUGUAUACCCUGGCGGCAGCGAGUACCUCCUGACGGUCAGGAUAGCUAGACCCACAGGGCGGAAAAGUUCAGGGGUAGGAAACAGAAAUUUCUCCAGUGGGUUUCUGGAGCAGGGAAAUUCCUAUUUUACUCCCUUGUUCCCAUAUAUUCUACAUUUUGGAGGUUCACCACCGAAUGAAGGGUAUUGGUGUAAUAAGCAUACUCUAUCCUGAAGGAUGCUGUUCUGUCCUUACAAGGUAUCAUCUCCAAACUGGCCCUUAACUGUAUCUUCAAGAAGCCACUCCACGGUUCUAUCAGUCCCGAAGCUUUGGAUGGUGAGGUAUGUGUUAGGUAGUGGAUUUUAUUGUCACGGACUCACUGCUAAACUUCCUUUGCUGUAAAUUGUGUUCCUUGACGUGAGGCAAUCUUAUAAGGGCGCUCAAUGCGUAACAGGAAUACCUGUCAAUCCUGAUCGAAAUAAAUCAUUGUUUUUCAUAGGAGGAAGGGACAUGGUAUAAUCAGUUUCACGUCAGUAAGCUGAUUGGUGUCUACGAGGGAUGUUCUGUAUUGGAGACUUAGCCUUUCUCUGUUGCAAACACACUGGACAGCCCACAGUGACAGUAGCUAGAUCAGCCUUGCUUAGAGGGAGCCUGUGCUGUUGGAGUCAUGAAUGACUAGCCUUAUUUUUUGCUACCAGGGUCUCUCUGUUCAUGUACCCGUUGUGCCAGCAUUGGGGUAUUCAACUGCAGAGGCUGGCUCACAUCCUAGCAGCAGAGUCGUCCUGGCCGCUUGAUUUUUGAACCCUUCUGCUGCGGAUAUACUCUGGGGUGCCAAGAUGUCGGUGCCCGUGCCCAUAAGUUCUUCCACAUGCCCCUUCCCCAGGCGUUCUGAGCCGUAAUUUACCAGUAUGGCCGCUUCCAGGCCUCUUCACAGAGUAUAUGUGUAUUCUUACCUUGGCCACGUCUCUCUCCAAGCAAGUAGAUGGUCAGAUGCACUUCUCAUUGGCAGGGGCAGUGGAGGGGGGCAGCGCUGGGCAGGGAGUUCCGGUCACAUCUUUUUUUUAGAGUCAACUUGAGUGGCACUGGAAACCAGGAACUGCCCUUUGCCAGCUUGUGCCAGCAUGCUGAGCUGACCUACCUGUGAGCUAAGUUUCGUUUUUGUUCUUCACCCCCAGCUCGAGCCCCAGUUAGGUCCCAGGGUGUGAGCUGAGGGAUGGGCCUUGGUACCACAGUGGUGAAAGAUGUGGGGCGUCUGGGCCACAUGUUUGUGCAGCUUUCUUGUGCCUUCCCAACCUGACAGAUUAUCGCUUCCAUUUUAUAAGUACUUUCAGAGUUCGUUCCCUGGAAGCAGAAAAACUGGGGGUGCAAGAUGUUUUUAGAAUUGGCACUUGUGAAAGGAAGUGGGAGAAAUUAAAAUAACUCUCACGGUUUAAAAGAAAAAAGAGCCAGGCCUUGGCUCCCUUGUCUUCCUCCGUCCCUGGGUGUGGGCACUGGGAAUGGAAUGGCUUUGGGCUCGGUGGCUCUCUGCCGCUGAGGCAGACCCUGAGGGAGCACGUAGGUGGACGUCGUCAGUACUUGCCACUGUUGGUUGGCAAGUCUUCCUUUGAGGGGCUCCAAUCAGAAUAUGCUGCAUUGAAAUCCCAAAUUGAGUUACCUGGUCUUGGACUUCUUUUUUUAGUAGUAAGAUGUGCAAAGUAAAUAACUUGCUCUGUAAUUUUUUUUAUUACUCAAUGAAUUUAUUACGUUUAUAGUUGUACAAUGAUCAUCACAAUCCAGCUUUAUGGGAUUUUCAUCCCACACCCCCAGCGCAUCCCCCUGCCCCCUGAACUGUCUCCUCUCGAAACCAUAAGUUUUUCAAACAGAUACUGACUUGCUCUGUAAUUUGAAGAGGAUGAUUGGGCGUGACCCACAUCACCGGACCCUUACACAUUGUGCUGAUGAGAUGGGCCCUUGAAUCUCUGCCAGAUUUAUCGCCUACCUUCUGGAGCACAUUGCUUUCACUAUGGCACUCAAAAUACUUGCUACUUCUUGCUAAUCAGGUCUGAUUUAUAUGAUAUCGUCAAUAUAGUGAGUUAAUGUGAUGCUCUAUAGAAGGUCCAGAUGGUCCAGGUGUUUUCGUUAUAACAGGGAGCAGGAGGUUUAUAGCCCCCGGUCAAAACAAUAAAUUAAUAUUUUUGUCUGAGA